rnacentral:rRNA from 1 species
UACGAAGGGGGCUAGCGUUGCUCGGAAUUACUGGGCGUAAAGCGCACGUAGGCGGAUUGUUAAGUCGGGGGUGAAAUCCUGGAGCUCAACUCCAGAACUGCCUUCGAUACUGGCGAUCUCGAGUCCGGGAGAGGUGAGUGGAACUGCGAGUGUAGAGGUGAAAUUCGUAGAUGUUCGGAAGAACACCAGUGGCGAAGGCGGCUCACUGGACCGGUAUUGACGCUGAGGUGCGAAAGCGUGGGGAGCAAACAGG